UCAGUCGAGAGGGAAACAGCCCAGAGCAUCGACUAAGGCCCCUAAGCGUACGCUAAGUGGGAAAGGAUGUGGAGUCGCAGAGACAACCAGGAGGUUGGCUUAGAAGCAGCCACCCUUGAAAGAGUGCGUAAUAGCUCACUGGUCUAGUGAUUCCGCGCCGACAAUGUAGCGGGGCUCAAGCGUACCGCCGAAGUCGUGUCAUUGCAGCAAUACUCCCAACGGAGGCUGUGAUGGGUAGGGGAGCGUCGUGUGCCGGGUGAAGCCGCGCCGGAAGGCAGUGGUGGACGGUUCACGAGUGAGAAUGCAGGCAUGAGUAGCGAUACACACGUGAGAAACGUGUGCGCCGAUUGACUAAGGGUUCCUGGGUCAAGCUGAUCUGCCCAGGGUAAGUCGGGACCUAAGGCGAGGCCGACAGGCGUAGUCGAUGGAUAACCGGUUGAUAUUCCGGUACCCGCUGUGAAGCGUCAAACAUCGAACCAGGCGAUGCUAAGUCCGUGAAGCCGCCCCGGAGCCUUCGGGCAAAGGGGAGUGGUGGAGCCGACGGACCAGACCUGUAGUAGGUGAGUGAUGGGGUGACGCAGGAAGGUAGUCCAUCCCGGGCGGUGGUUGUCCCGGGGUAAGGGUGUAGGMCGUCWGRUAGGUAAAUCCGYCWSRCAYWWAGUCUGAGACCUGAUGCCGAGCCGAUUGUGGUGAAGUGGAUGAUCCUAUGCUGUCGAGAAAAGCCUCUAGCGAGUUUCAUGGCGGCCCGUACCCUAAACCGACUCAGGUGGUCAGGUAGAGAAUACCGAGGCGUUCGGGUGAACUAUGGUUAAGGAACUCGGCAAAAUGCCCCCGUAACUUCGGGAGAAGGGGGGCCAUCACCGGUGAUGAGUCUUGCACUCUGAGCUGGGGGUGGCCGCAGAGACCAGCGAGAAGCGACUGUUUACUAAAAACACAGGUCCGUGCGAAGCCGUAAGGCGAUGUAUACGGACUGACGCCUGCCCGGUGCUGGAACGUA
rnacentral:rRNA from 1 species